AAAUAUCCCAGUAGUGUGGGAAAGCUAAUUAGGGGUUUGUACCCAUGGGAACUAUGGGAUAAAACUUCUAAAAUGUGGUGAUACUGAACAGUUGCUCUGAAUUGAUGUCUCCUUUGGAUUCUCCCUAAAGAUAAGCAUGAAGCUUAGAGCCCAGCCACCCUCAAAAAAUUGAUUAAAUUGGACAGAACUCUGCUUUAAAAUCAAACAGAGGUGAAUCCAAAUCUUGCAUACUCCAUCUAUCAUCUUUAUAUGCUUCGAGUGCACUCGUGAAAGCAUCAAGGAAAGCAACAACAACACAGGAGGUGGGAAAGGACCCAACCUUUGCCUGAACAACAGUCACUCUUACAAGGAAAUCAGAAAAUCGUUCUUAAUUCUUUUCUCAUUGGUAACCAGGAUUUUGCCUUUCUCAAGCACUUAGGAGUUCUUCUGCACUGAAUGCUGACACAAUAUCUAGAACUACAGCAGCCAUCUUGAGAUAAAUGAAGGAAACCUAAAAACACCAAGAGACGCAUAAUAAAUGCCAACAGCUUGUAGAAAGUAGAAUUAAGGCUCAUAUACAACCAAGACUACUUUAUCUGACAACACUGUGCUUCAAAAAUGAAGGAGAAAUAAAGAAUACCCCAGAAGUGUUUACAAAUGCUGAGAAAGUACAUUACCACCAGAUUUGCAUUACAAGAAAUGCUGAAGAGAGUUCGUCAAGAUGAAAGAACACUAAAGAACAUCAUAAAAGCAUAAGAAAGUGAAAGUUUAUUGGUAAUAACAAACAUAUACACAAAUGCAGAAUAUUGCUAUAACAGCACUGCAC
rnacentral:lncRNA from 1 species